rnacentral:rRNA from 1 species
UGAAGGCCAGGCUGAAGACUUUGUCCGGAUUAGCUGAGAGGUGGUGCAUGGCCGUCGUCAGUCGUACUGUGAAGCAUCCUGUUAAGUCAGGCAACGAGCGAGACCCACGCCAACAGUUGCCAGCUCGUCCUCCGGGAUGUGGGGACACUGUUGGGACCGCCUCUGCUAAAGAGGAGGAAGGAAUGGGCAACGGUAGGUCAGCAUGCCCCGAAUUAUCUGGGCUACACGCGGGCUACAAUGGGUGGGACAAUGGGUAUCGACACCGAAAGGUGAAGGCAAUCUCCUAAACCCAUCCGUAGUUCGGAUUGUGGGCUGCAACUCGCCCACAUGAAGCUGGAAUCUGUAGUAAUCGUGUCUCAAAAUGGCACGGUGAAUAUGUCCCUGCUCCUU